CGCGUGGCUUGCUGCGCAUUUCGUCGAGCACAAAGCGGGCGUCAACGGCGCACUGCGCAGCAGCAGAGAGGAGGCAUCGGCAGAGGGCUCGCGGCCAUGGGCAACUGCGAGCUCGCUGCAAUCCAUGGACAGGGAGCCAACCGCGCUGCAUGGAAGAGGAACAGGGAGGGCGUGGCUGGAGGAAAGGGGCGAGCUGCUUGUGGCCAUGGGGGAGAAGAAAGGGCGCCGUCGAGGGAGCUUCAACAGUGGAGCGCUCGGCUGCUGGGCUGCUCACCGUGGACAGCAGAGAAAGGCAGGUGCAGUGGAGAAAGGGUGCUCAAAACUACUGGCCGGAGCUAGGGCUCGGCC
rnacentral:misc_RNA from 1 species